GCCUGGGUAGCUCAGUCGGUAGAGUAUUAAAUCUCAGAGUUGUGGGUUCAAGCCCCAUGUUGGACG